CAAGGAGUUCGAAUGCUUUCUGCUGGUUCUGGGAUGUUUUGUGGCCUGCCUUAUUUUAACAGCAGUCUAGUGAAUGGACAGCUCUUGUAGCACUAAAGUGCUUAUAGUGCAGGUAGUGAUCACUAAUCUACUGCAUUAUAAGCACUUAAAGUACUGCUAGCUGUAGAACUACAUACUCAGCGUGUCUUACAGUUUAUUUGUUGUUUAAUUGAACACUGUUCUCUGGUUAGUUUUGCAGGUUUGCAUCCAGCUGUAUAAUACUCUGCUGUGCAAAUCCAUGCAAAACUGACUGUGGCAGUGACAAGUCAGUCAGUCAGUGUGGAGAUACUGUACCCCUUUCUACACAGGUUGGGAUCAGUUGCAAUGCUGUGUGUGUCUGUGGUAUUGCACUUGUCCCGGCCUGUUGAGGUUGGUGGGGAUAGAGGCUGAAACACCUUCAUAGUUUUAAGGAAUUUCGCCUUCACUGAUCCAGGAAACUUAAGAUUUUAAGUUUCUUCUUGAAAAAAAUGUCAUGUAAUUUUCCGUGUAACUAGAUUUUGGUUUUCUGUAUUUGGCUUUUUGUUUGUAUGUACCGGAUUUAUUACUGAUAAUAUGUAUUUACUGAAAUCUUGAGUUUGGAUUUUUUUUUUUAAAGGCUGUUAUGAGCUUUCUAUUAAACCAAGGUGGAUACUUAUUUACACUUUCUUCAUGAAUUUGUUGGUAAGAAAUGGAUCUUGGGUAUUAGAAAAUCUGAAUGAAAGUUCUGACUUGUUCAGUAUAAGGUUGCUUUUAAAAUUAAGAUUACAUGAAGAAUUCAGCAGCUUUCUUUUGUAAUGCUUUUUAUUAUAUUGAAACUGGUAAUAGAGUGCAUUUUUAGCCCUAGUUCCUCCAUCCAGAACUUGUUAAGUUAAAGAGUAAUAAAUCAGGUUACAAACAGGUUCUUAGUAAUUUCUUAGCUAUGGAAUCUUUAAUACUAGUCAGGUGCCCACUUCUUCUGGGUUAUCUACAUCUGUGGUGAGCAUAACAGUGGUCAAAUCUUAACCUUUAGAGUGAAUCACUUACCAUGUGAUCCAUACCAAGAAAAUGGGACAUCUCUUGAGCUACCUGAAUAACUUUACUUAUGGGAAAAACUUGUGUGUAUAACUGCUUCAGAGAAGCUGAGGUUGCUAAGGGGAAGAUGUAACUGGCUCCAUGAGGAAGUGUUGAUGUAAAAUCUAGAAGUGGAGCAUUCAACAUGAAUGAGUAGUGUGUUACUAAACUUCACUUGCAGCUUAAGCAUUAAAUGUUUUGUUUCCUAAAACAGCCUUCUAGAGAACUAAUGCUGUAAAUUCAAAGUACUAAAUUGGUUGCUUAGUCACCAGACUAUAUAGUACUCUGAAGUACCUUUGUGGUAGGAAAAUUAAGAGUAUUUGGGUCAAUGCUGCCCUUGCUAUUCUUGUGUUAAGUUAAAAGGGAAUACUAAGCUAUAUGGGUCAUUGUUCCUAAGAGUGCUGAACACUAUCCAGAGUCAAGCAACAAGCACAAUGUUGCCUUGGAAUAUUGCUCUGUCCUCUAGCAAGACAUGAAGAAUUCUUAGAUGGGUUUGGUGUCUUGUAAGUUUCUGAAGUAGCCAAGCCAACUUAGGCUUCUGUGUGCUACUCAAUUUCUGCCUGUUUUUUCUACUCCUGUUACUUUAGAAUGUAUUGCUCAGAUAGCGUUCUUGACCAAAGUCAUCUUUCCCAUGCUUAAAAUUUGCUUUUUAGUUUAGCUGAUUAGAGAAGACUUUUGUCAGUAAAGUCAGAUGAAGAUGUGUGUUUUCAUUCUGAUUUCUAUACAAUAAGCUUCUGUAGUAAUUUGGUGAUGGCAGUUUAACUCCUUUUGAGUGUAAAAGCAGGAAGCGUUUUAAUAUGCGUUCAUAUUUACACUGCCAUGUAGGCAGUUGGAGUUGUAUAUUACAGUUAAAAAAAGAAGCUUGUUAAAAAUGAAUGCUUGCAGAAGCAGUUUUUAUGCCCAUGGAACCUUAAAUUAGCUGUCAGAUAAGUUGAAGUGUACAAAGUUCUAAUACUUUGUGUGAAAACUAACUGACAAGAAGUGUUGCCAUCAUUUAUUAUUUUAAUUACUUGGACUCCAAAAAAUACUUUUACAUGGUGCAAGUGUGAGGAAUAACUUUGUGACUGUCAUACAGCAUUCUAAAGACACAGUAAUCUGUGCUUAAUUCAAGGGACAAUUAUAACAGUGCCUGUGUAAACUGUAGAAUCAGUCUUACUUGUAUGCUUUCAGUACAGCUUUGGCAUAUUAAUAAUAUAAUUUAUGCUAUCAGAAGUUUCAGGUUAAUUACGCAUGCUCUCUUCCGAAAGUGUCUAGAGCUUUUUUCCAACUCAUUCUAAUGUAUCAUAGCUUUCUAAUGGAUAUGUGUGAAUAGAAUAUUGCCCUGUACAUCAAGUUCAGUGUAAAUUGUUUUUCUCCUGUUUUUUAUAGUCACUUGAGUAUCUCCUAAGGAAUGAUGGUUAAUCCUGUGUAUGUUAGUUUCAGUGUAGCUGAGACACAGAACUGUAGUUGACAUAAAACUGUAGGAAGGGAAGUAAUGCUGCUGAGUUCAGCUGGGCUUAAAGAAAAAAGCUCAGCCUUGUCCCUGAUGUUUCUUUAAAGGUUGACUGGAGUUGGAGUAGUAAGGCAGCUAAAACAAGUGCCAGUUUGAAAAUGCUGCAGAAACACCAAGAAGCAUUUUCUGCAGAUGUGUUCAGCUGACUAUUAAAACUGCCAUGUGGAUGAGAAACUUAUUUUUUUCUGCUGGCUUUGAUACAGGUGGUACUCUUAGACUGAGAUUCUGGAUUGGUACAAGGUGGUGCUAUGGCAGAAGCAUUCCUUGGAAUUUAAUGGUCCUUACCAUUGUGAUGAGACCAGUCCUGUGCUUGGAAGCAUGACCUUUCAAAGUUUCCUCACCCAGGUUGCCUAGAACCUCUUUGUGAGUAUCUGGUUUUGGCCUGAUGUCCAAAUUCACCACUCCUUGGAGAAAUAAAAGCAAUAUAUUAGUAGACUGGUGGGGAGGUUGCCUUGAUGAUCUCCUGAAGUCCCUUCCAACCCCUACCAUUUUACGAUUCUAUGACUUCAGCUGAUACGUAGUGUGCUAAAGAAAUCAGUGUUGCUUCUAUAGGGCAGUGACACCACUGUGUGUUUGGCAAGGCAGGGCAUGUAAGGUGUUUUUUCAUGUGGUAGUUUUAACCUGUAGAACUGGUGCAUUAAUCAGUUGAAUCUUCUGUGUGAUUUAAACACCCUGUCAGCCGCAGCUAGCUGCUGCACUCUUCUGUUCUCAAAGGAGAGAUCUAUCCCUCUUACUCAGAAUGGGAAUAUCCUCAUCUGUUUACUUUUCAUGGUCCCAACAAAAUCAGAACAUCUCAGGUCUCUGGUGUGCUCUCUACAGUUGGGAAGUUCAUGCAUACCUUAUUCUGAGAGCGUGGUGAAUGGUAAGGACAGAUACUGAUAAUCCUGAUUUACCUGGUCUGUCUGUUUUAAGUUUUGGGGUAGUUUGCCUUUUACUAAAGAGUUCUCAAGCUCUUAGAUCUCCCAAAAAGUCUGAAAGUGCAGCAUUUGUGCCAGUCUUCCUUGACGUCACGUUUAAAAAUGAUGCUACUGUAAAAUGAGACUUUUGACCUAAAAUAUCAGAAUGUUAAGCAUACUUCUUGGACAUAUCUGGAGGGAGUACUAAGGACAAGGACUGUUUUGUGUGCAAGUGGAAUGGAAUGUUGUAGCACUGUUUUAACAAUAAAAAUUAGUUACAUGGGAAGGAAAAAAACUUAGAACAUGAUAAGUAGGAGAGUGUUAAUAAGGAGGAGUAGCUGUUUAAUUUCUUAUUUUGCUUAACCUCUAACAAAAUAUGUUUUCAGACCUGUAAGUGAUGCUCGGAUUCCUUCAUUUAGGAAGCCUAAUAAGCAGGUAAAACCACAGCUUAUUGGUGUCUAUCUAAUGUGUUGCUUCUAACCUAAGUGCCUUUUGGAGCUUCCAGUCUUCCUGACUAAUAUGUCCAGGGAUACCAGAAGUGAACUCAGAAACUUAGCUAUGAUCUCACAGAUUAAACACUGUGACUUCAAAAAAUACAUGCUUUUUUGGAUGUAUAGAUACAAAACCACACUCUGAUGAAGAUUAACCUAAAAAGAUGUGUAUAGCAUUUGUUGUAAUAGACCUACUUUUAUUUAAUGAAUCUCAGUUACUUCUAAACUAAUCAAUGCUUUUGAUGAAAUGUUUGAUAGAAAGCUUUUCUUUUACAGCUGCCAAAUUGUCACGUUCCAAUCCCAAGUUGUCCAGUUUUUUGAGCAGGUAAUUUUGUAUUCAUGUAUAGAACUUGCACAACAAUGUAAGUAGCAGGAGUCAAGGUACAAUUUGGAAGGUUCUUUAUCCACUGUAUGGAGGUGUGGACUGUUUCAGCUUCUAUGGUAAAGGUAUAUAUUGCUUCCCCACAGGUUGCAAUUUCAGUAUUCUAGGACUGAGGCUGAAGGGUGUAGGUAGAUGAUCUUUCUGAUUCUCUAUUGUGUUUUGAUUUUUUGUUUGUUUGCUUGUUUUUUAAGAUGAUGGGAAUCCUGUUUUAAAACUUGAAUACAACUUUGGAAUUUCGCCUUGAAUUAGCCUCAAGUGAGGCUUUCCCUGAGCAUACAGAGUAAAAAACUAACUAUGCUCACAAAUGACAGUACAUCUUUGACCUUGAGGGGCCUGAGAAAUGUGUUACAAACAAACCAGGAGCUUUCCUAAUUUCAUCAAACUUCAGGAAAUGUUUUUCUUCACAGCUGCUUCUUGUUUCUUCAGUCUGCACUUUUUCUCUCUUACAAUAUGUAUAUGUGGCUCUGUACAAGUGUGUAUACCUAUUGUGUGUGUAAAUGUAUGUAUAUUGGGAAUGCUACUAGUACACAAAUACUAGUCUGUAUUUAUGUCCACACAAUGUAGGAAAAAAAGCCAGUUCAUUAAUAAAAUUACUUCCUGCAUAAUACCUGCUAUAAAUGAUCCGGAAACAGAAGGAAUCUCUGUAACCUGGCAAAACUUCAACCUUUCUUCUGUAUUCCCUCAGUCUCAUUGGUGGUGUCUAGGAAAUUAAAUUCUUCCCAAAAAACCUCUGUGUUAGGAAGGGGAAGAAACUGUUUUUUGCUUGAAUGCAUUUUCUGAUUACUGAAAUCAGCUGUGGACACUACAGGUGCUGUACCUGGAAGCACCAGAAGUUUUCUGGUUUUUAAAUCCUGAAAUACUGGCAAGGUUGAGGGCGUUUUUUCCCUAGCUGGAUUGCAAACGUGGAAAUGCCCAGAAGUGUUAAAGAGUAGUGGGGGGUGCAAUUGGACAAAAUCAGGGGAAACUGACUUAGGGAUGUUUAAAGAAAGUGUGACUGGUAAUUCAAGUAGUUGAGAAGUCACAGAUGGAAGUACAUGGAGGAGGAAAGUAAGGCUUUUCCCUAGGACUCUGCUAUUACAUUUCAGAUACUGAGUGAACAGAGCUGUAGUAGGACCUUGCUACAGCCCUUAUGUGCUCAUGGGGGAGGAUUUUUUCUCCAUCAGGGAACUGGGUGUCAAUACAGUCGCAACAGAGUUAGGAUGGCUUAAAUAUCUGAAGAAAGAUUUAUGUAAUAAAAAUUAUCAUAGUGGAUCUAAUAAGGUAUUUCUUGCUGUGGAGUCUGUCUUAGUUAUAAUGGUUUUCUUAGAUGCUUCAGCUAUUACUUCAUAGUACUGUGUACAAUAUUGUGUUAAUACAAAGAAAAAGUUAUCUGCUUUAUAAGAAGUUCUGGGCUUCUCACAGUUGAGCUGUGUGCUUGACUCAUCUAGUAGCUUGCUUUGUCUUGUGUGCUACCUCAGGACAGCUGUGCUGUAUUAUAAAUUCAGCUUGUUCCAAGAUGCUUUGCAAACUGAAAUUAGUACUAGAUAAUGUUGUUAGCUGGUCACAAUUCUCAAUAAACUUAAA